UAGUCAUAUGCUUGUCUCAAAGAUUAAGCCAUGCAUGUGUCAGUACAGGCCGUUCUAAGGCUAAACCGCGAAUGGCUCAUUAAAUCAGUUAUGGUACAUUUGAUCAAAGACCCAUUACUUGGAUAACCCUGGUAAUUCUAGAGCUAAUACGUGACCACGACAACUCCGACUGCAAGGGAGGAGUGCUUUUAUUAGAGUAAAACCAAUCGGGCCCCGGUCCGUCAAUGGUGUGUUGAUUCUGAGUAACUUUGUGCCGAGAGCACGGCCUCCGCGCCGGCUCCGUAUCUUUCGAGUUUCUGCCUUAUCAUGCUGUGGACUGUAGGUCAUGUGCCUACAGUGGCUUUUACGGGUGACGGAGAAUCAGGGUUCGAUUCCGGAGAGGGAGCCUGAGAAACGGCUACCACAUCCAAGGAAGGCAGCAGGCACGCAAAUUACCCAAUCCCAGCCCGGGGAGGUAGUGACGAAAAAUAACAAUGCGGGACUCUUCCGAGUCUGCGUAAUUGGAAUGAGAACACUUUAAAUCCUUUACCGACAACCAAUUGGAGGGCAAGUCUGGUGCCAGCAGCCGCGGUAAUUCCAGCUCCAAUAGCGUAUAUUAAAGUUGUUGCA
rnacentral:rRNA from 1 species